GGCCUCGUAGCUCAGUUGGCUAGAGCUUUGGCUGUACUAAAGACUUCCCCAUUGCUUGCGUGGGUUCGAGUCCCACCGAGGCCA
rnacentral:tRNA from 1 species